ACGAACGCUGGCGGCGUGCUUAACACAUGCAAGUCGAACGAUGAAGCCUAGCUUGCUAGGUGGAUUAGUGGCGAACGGGUGAGUAAUACGUGAGUAACCUACCUUUAACUCUGGGAUAAGCCCGGGAAACUGGGUCUAAUACCGGAUACGACCAAUCUCCGCAUGGGGUGUUGGUGGAAAGCGUUAUGUAGUGGUUAUAGAUGGGCUCACGGCCUAUCAGCUUGUUGGUGAGGUAACGGCUCACCAAGGCGACGACGGGUAGCCGGCCUGAGAGGGUGACCGGCCACACUGGGACUGAGACACGGCCCAGACUCCUACGGGAGGCAGCAGUGGGGAAUAUUGCACAAUGGGCGCAAGCCUGAUGCAGCGACGCCGCGUGAGGGAUGACGGCCUUCGGGUUGUAAACCUCUGUUAGCAGGGAAGAAGAGAAAUUGACGGUACCUGCAGAGAAAGCGCCGGCUAACUACGUGCCAGCAGCCGCGGUAAUACGUAGGGCGCGAGCGUUGUCCGGAAUUAUUGGGCGUAAAGAGCUUGUAGGCGGUUUGUCGCGUCUGCUGUGAAAGGCCGGGGCUUAACCCCGUGUAUUGCAGUGGGUACGGGCAGACUAGAGUGCAGUAGGGGAGACUGGAACUCCUGGUGUAGCGGUGGAAUGCGCAGAUAUCAGGAAGAACACCGAUGGCGAAGGCAGGUCUCUGGGCUGUAACUGACGCUGAGAAGCGAAAGCAUGGGGAGCGAACAGGAUUAGAUACCCUGGUAGUCCACGCCGUAAACGAUGUCGACUUGGAGGUUGUGCCCUUGAGGCGUGGCUUCCGGAGCUAACGCGUUAAGUCGACCGCCUGGGGAGUACGGCCGCAAGGCUAAAACUCAAAGAAAUUGACGGGGGCCCGCACAAGCGGCGGAGCAUGCGGAUUAAUUCGAUGCAACGCGAAGAACCUUACCAAGGCUUGACAUAUACUGGACCGCAUCAGAGAUGGUGUUUCCCUUCGGGGCUGGUAUACAGGUGGUGCAUGGUUGUCGUCAGCUCGUGUCGUGAGAUGUUGGGUUAAGUCCCGCAACGAGCGCAACCCUCGUUCUAUGUUGCCAGCACGUUAUGGUGGGGACUCAUAGGAGACUGCCGGGGUCAACUCGGAGGAAGGUGGGGAUGACGUCAAAUCAUCAUGCCCCUUAUGUCUUGGGCUUCACGCAUGCUACAAUGGCCGGUACAGAGGGUUGCGAUACUGUGAGGUGGAGCUAAUCCCUAAAAGCCGGUCUCAGUUCGGAUUGGGGUCUGCAACUCGACCCCAUGAAGUCGGAGUCGCUAGUAAUCGCAGAUCAGCAACGCUGCGGUGAAUACGUUCCCGGGCCUUGUACACACCGCCCGUCAAGUCACGAAAGUUGGUAACACCCAAAGCCGGUGGCCUAACCUUUUGGAGGGAGCCGUCUAAGGUGGGAUUGGCGAUUGGGACU
rnacentral:rRNA from 1 species